GACGUAGGGCGCGAGCGUUGUCCGGAUUUAUUGGGCGUAAAGAGCUCGUAGGCGGCUUGUCGCGUCGACUGUGAAAUCCCGCGGCUCAACUGCGGGUCUGCAGUCGAUACGGGCAGGCUAGAGUUCGGUAGGGGAGACUGGAAUUCCUGGUGUAGCGGUGAAAUGCGCAGAUAUCAGGAGGAACACCGGUGGCGAAGGCGGCUCACUGGACCGGUACUGACGCUGAGGCGCGAAAGCGUGGGGAGCAAACAGG
rnacentral:rRNA from 1 species